rnacentral:rRNA from 1 species
AGAGUUUGAUCCUGGCUCAGGACGAGCGCUGGCGGCGUGCUUAACACAUGCAAGUCGAACGGAAAGGCCCUUCGGGGUACUCGAGUGGCGAACGGGUGAGUAACACGUGGGUGAUCUGCCCUGCACUUUGGGAUAAGCCUGGGAAACUGGGUCUAAUACCGAAUAGGACCACGCGCUUCAUGGUGUGUGGUGGAAAGCUUUUGCGGUGUGGGAUGGGCCCGCGGCCUAUCAGCUUGUUGGUGGGGUAAUGGCCUACCAAGGCGACGACGGGUAGCCGGCCUGAGAGGGUGACCGGCCACACUGGGACUGAGAUACGGCCCAGACUCCUACGGGAGGCAGCAGUGGGGAAUAUUGCACAAUGGGCGCAAGCCUGAUGCAGCGACGCCGCGUGAGGGAUGACGGCCUUCGGGUUGUAAACCUCUUUCAAUAGGGACGAAGCGCAAGUGACGGUACCUAUAGAAGAAGCACCGGCCAACUACGUGCCAGCAGCCGCGGUAAUACGUAGGGUGCGAGCGUUGUCCGGAAUUACUGGGCGUAAAGAGCUCGUAGGUGGUUUGUCGCGUUGUUCGUGAAAACUCACAGCUUAACUGUGGGCGUGCGGGCGAUACGGGCAGACUAGAGUACUGCAGGGGAGACUGGAAUUCCUGGUGUAGCGGUGGAAUGCGCAGAUAUCAGGAGGAACACCGGUGGCGAAGGCGGGUCUCUGGGCAGUAACUGACGCUGAGGAGCGAAAGCGUGGGGAGCGAACAGGAUUAGAUACCCUGGUAGUCC